CUCACGAUUGAGUGAAGCGAACAUGCAGACAAGAAAGUUCAGAGCAGUUGUCUAGCGAACUUUUAAUUGAUUUGUAUCCUGAAACAAUCUUGAUUAGUUGAUUGAUAGAGAUGCAGCGGGGAAGAAGGGGAUGGGGUGGUCACACGCAGGUAGGGGGAGUGGUCACAUGCACACGUGGAAGAGCUAGUAACGCGGUAAUGGCUAACUUUCGGGUUCAAU